CCUACGGGGGGCGGCAGUAGGGAAUUUUCGGCAAUGGGCGGAAGCCUGACCGAGCAAUGCCGCGUGAACGGAGAAGGUCUUCGGAUUGUAAAGUUCUGUUAUUCGGAAAGAAAGGUAGAGUCAGGAAAUGGGAUCUAUUUGACGGUACCGAAUGAGGAAGCCCCGGCUAACUACGUGCCAGCAGCCCCGGUC
rnacentral:rRNA from 1 species